rnacentral:rRNA from 1 species
AGCGUGGGGAGCGAACAGGAUUAGAUACCCUGGUAGUCCACGCCGUAAACGAUGCAGACUAAUUGUUAGGAGUAUCGACCCUCCUAGCAGUGAAGCUAACGCGUUAAGUCUGCCGCCUGGGAAGUACGGUCGCAAGACUAAAACUCAAAGGAAUUGACGGGGGCUCACACAAGCGGUGGGGCAUGUGGUUUAAUUCGACGAUAAGCGAAGAACCUUACCAGGACUUGACAUCCCAAUCGUAUCCUAUAGAAAUAUAGGAGUCAGUUCGGCUGGAUUGGUGACAGGUGCUGCACGGUUGUCGUCAGCUCGUGUCGUGAGAUGUUCCGUUAAGUCGGCUAACGAGCGAAACCCCUAUUGCCAGUUGUAUUUUUCUGGCGAGACUGCCUCGGUUAACGGGGAGGAAGGCGGGGAUGACGUCAAAUCAGCGUGGCUCUUACGUCCUGGGCUACACACGUGCUACAAUGGCAUUUACAAAGGGUCGCAAUAGCGCAAGCUGGAGCUAAUCCCUAAAAAUUGCCACAGUUCGGAUUGAGGGCUGCAACUCGCCCUCAUGAAGCUGGAAUCGCUAGUAAUCGUGGGUCAGCCAUACCACGGUGAAUACGUUCUCAAGCCUUGUACACACCGCCCGUCAAGCGAGCCGAGUCGGCAACGCCCGAAGUCCGCCAUUUGGUGGAUUACGGCAGGGUCGGCAAGGAGCACUAAGUCGUAACAAGGUAUCCGUAGGGGAAUCUGCGGAUG